UCGAGCCACACGAGAGUUUCGUAUUAGUUUUCUUUUUCUUCCUCUUUGUAAUGUGAUGUAGGGUUUUGGCUACUGUGAGUUCGACUGUUCGAGUACCGGCGGACAACUGGAGGCAAAGGCAAACCUCCUCCACUGCGACUGCGACGGCGAACGGUCUUUCCCCUCUAUCUCCGGCAGACACAGCCGACGCUCGCCCCAUUACCGGCAACACAGGAAAUGGCGGCUUCUUGUGAAAUUACGGCGUCAGAGUUCCUUCAAGGUUCUCGUAGGCAAUCUCUGUUUUCGCCAAGAAAUUUGCCAAGGCGAAGAGACAGUUUACUCUGGGGUUCACUAAACAGUAAAAUUCGAUCACUUAGAAUAUCUACCAAAGGUACUUCACGCGGGCCUUCCUGUCCAUCAAAGGUCAGAGCUGUUGUCUCCGGCGGAAAUGUGAGCAGUGCAGUUGAUAUUGAGAUUCAGAAGCCUGCUGAAAGGAUUAUACAUUUUUUCCGCAUCCCAUUUAUUGGAGAGAGUGCAACAGCUGAACUUUUGAAGUCAGUUCAGACCAGAGUUUCAAACGAAAUAAGUGAUCUGAAAACAGAGCAGUGUUUUAACGUCGGACUUACUUCUGGCCUUUCAAGCAAAAAACUUUCAGUUCUUAAAUGGCUUUUGGGAGAAACCUACGAGCCGGAUAACCUGGGAACCGAGAGCUUUCUUGAUAAGGAAAAGGAACCGGGUUCAAAUAUGGUGAUAAUUGAAGUUGGGCCCCGCUUGUCUUUCACAACAGCAUGGUCUGCUAAUGCCGUAUCAAUAUGCCGGGCAUGUGGGUUGACAGAGGUAACCAGAAUUGAAAGAUCAAGGAGGUACUUGUUGUACACUAAACCCGGAAGUGGUUCAUUGUCAGAUCAUCAAAUCAAUGAGUUUGCAGCAUUGGUGCAUGAUCGGAUGACUGAGUGCGCAUAUGCUGGUAAGCUCACCUCAUUCCAGACUAGUGUAGUCCCUGAAGAAGUUCAAUAUAUACCAGUCCUAGAGAGGGGUAGGAAAGCACUGGAGGAAAUUAAUGACAAAAUGGGUUUAGCCUUUGAUGAACAAGAUUUGGAGUAUUACAGUAAACUUUUCAGGGAUGACAUCAAGAGGAACCCUACAACUGUUGAGCUAUUUGAUAUUGCACAAUCUAACAGUGAGCACAGCAGGCAUUGGUUUUUUACUGGAAAAAUUCUUAUAGAUGGUGAGCCCAUGAGUAGGACUCUCAUGCAGAUUGUCAAGAGUACUUUGCAGGCAAAUCAAAAUAAUUCUGUCAUUGGGUUCAAGGAUAACUCAAGUGCAAUCAAGGGAUUUAUGGUGAAUCAGUUGCGACCGGUUCAGCCUGGACUGACUUCUCCACUAAAUAUGAGCAGUCACAAUCUUGAUAUCUUAUUUACAGCAGAGACCCAUAAUUUUCCAUGUGCUGUGGCCCCUUACCCUGGUGCAGAGACAGGUGCAGGAGGACGAAUCAGGGAUACUCAUGCAACUGGAAGGGGCUCAUUUGUUGUUGCAUCUACAGCUGGCUAUUGUGUCGGGAAUCUUCAUAUUGAAGGGUUUCAUGCACCGUGGGAAGAUCCAUCUUUUAGAUACCCUUCAAACUUAGCAUCCCCUUUGCAGAUACUCAUUGAUGCUAGCAACGGUGCAUCAGAUUAUGGAAAUAAAUUUGGGGAGCCCUUGAUUCAGGGCUAUACCAGAACGUUUGGGAUGAGACUGCCAAAUGGUGAAAGGCGGGAAUGGUUAAAGCCAAUCAUGUUUAGUGGAGGAAUUGGGAUGAUCGAUCACAUCCAUAUAUCAAAAGGAGAACCUGACAUUGGAAUGUUAGUUGUAAAGAUUGGAGGCCCAGCAUAUCGUAUAGGAAUGGGGGGUGGUGCUGCAUCUAGCAUGGUUAGUGGUCAGAAUGAUGCUGAUCUUGAUUUCAAUGCUGUACAGCGUGGGGAUGCGGAGAUGGCACAGAAAUUGUAUCGUGUUGUUCGGGCAUGUGUUGAGAUGGGAGAGAAUAACCCAAUCAUCAGCAUUCAUGAUCAAGGUGCUGGUGGCAACUGUAAUGUUGUGAAGGAAAUAAUAUACCCAAAAGGUGCUGAAAUUGAUAUCCGAGCAAUUGUAGUUGGUGACCACACCAUGUCUGUUUUGGAGAUAUGGGGUGCAGAAUAUCAGGAGCAGGAUGCAAUAUUGGUGAAGCCUGAAAGCCGCAGCCUUUUCCAAUCAAUCUGUGAAAGAGAAAGAGUCUCUAUGGCAGUCAUUGGUACAAUUAAUGGUGAGGGUCGUGUUGUUUUGAUUGAUAGCAGAGCCAUUGAGAAGUGCCGCUCAAGUGGACUCCCUCCACCUCAACCGGCUGUAGAUCUUGAGCUUGAAAAGGUGCUUGGUGACAUGCCGCAGAAAACUUUUCAAUUUCAUCGUGUGGUUCAUGCCUGCGAGCCACUUGACAUUGCUCCUACAGUAACAGUGAUGGAUGCACUUCAGAGGGUGUUGAGACUUCCUUCUGUUUGUUCAAAGCGCUUCUUGAUGACUAAGGUCGAUAGGUGUGUAACAGGCCUUGUGGCACAGCAACAAACUGUGGGUCCUUUGCAAAUUCCUAUUUCUGAUGUGGCUGUUAUUGCACAAACUUACACUGAUUUUACUGGAGGUGCAUGUGCAAUUGGAGAACAACCAAUAAAAGGUCUUUUGAAUCCGAAGGCAAUGGCACGAUUGGCUGUUGGAGAAUCACUCACAAAUCUUGUUUGGGCAAAAGUAACUUCACUUGCUGAUGUGAAAGCAAGUGGGAAUUGGAUGUAUGCUGCCAAGCUUGACGGGGAAGGAGCAGCAAUGUAUGAUGCGGCCACAGCUCUCUCUGAGACCAUGAUCAAACUUGGAAUUGCUAUUGAUGGUGGGAAAGACAGUCUUUCAAUGGCAGCCCAUUCGUCAGGUGAGGUGGUUAAGGCUCCUGGAAAUCUUGUAAUCAGUGCCUAUGUUACUUGUCCUGAUAUAACCAAAACAGUGACACCAGAUUUGAAGCUUGGAGAUGAUGGGUUACUGCUUCUCAUUGAUUUGGCAAAAGGAAAUCGGCGUCUGGGUGGAUCUGCUCUAGCUCAAGCUUUUGACCAAGUUGGGGAUGAGUGUCCUGAUCUGGAUGAUGUUUCUUAUUUUAAAAGAGUGUUUGAGGGGGUUCAGGAUCUUAUAGCUGACGAGUUGAUCUCUGCUGGUCAUGAUAUUAGUGAUGGUGGGCUCAUUGUCAGUGUACUCGAGAUGGCAUUUGCUGGUAAUUGUGGCAUCUGCUUGGACUUGACUUCAGCAGGGAGUAGCGUCUUCCAAAUGCUUUUUGCAGAAGAGCUUGGUCUUGUUAUUGAGGUUAGCAAGAAGAACUUGGAUACAGUAAUGGAGAAACUACUCAAUGCUGGCAUUUCUACUGAGAUCAUCGGACAAGUAACUGCUGCACCAAUUAUAGAAUUGAAGCUUGAUGGAAUAAUGCAUUUAAAUGAGAAAACUUCUUAUCUUAGGGACAUAUGGGAAGAAACAAGUUUUCAGCUUGAAAAGCUGCAAAGAUUGGCAUCUUGUGUGGAUUUAGAGAAGGCAGGCUUGAAAAGCAGACACGCACCUUCUUGGGCAUUGUCCUUCACUCCAACUUUUACUGAAAAGAAAUUCGUGGUUGCUAGUGUUAAACCAAAAGUAGCCAUAAUUAGGGAGGAGGGUAGCAAUGGGGACAGAGAAAUGUCAGCUGCAUUUUUUGCAGCUGGUUUUGAACCAUGGGAUGUCACAAUGUCAGACCUUCUAAGUGGAGCCAUCUCUUUGCAUGAUUUCCGUGGGAUUGUGUUUGUGGGGGGUUUUAGCUAUGCUGAUGUACUUGAUUCUGCUAAAGGCUGGGCAGCUUCUAUACGAUUCAAUCAACCUCUUCUCAAGCAAUUUCAGGAAUUUUAUGAUCGGCCAGACACAUUCAGUUUGGGGAUUUGCAAUGGGUGCCAACUCAUGGCUCUACUUGGUUGGGUUCCUGGCCCUGAGGUUGGAGGUGUCUUGGGCAUUCGUGGUGACCCAUCCCAACCAAGGUUUGUACACAAUGAGUCAGGACGAUUUGAAUGUCGCUUCACAAGUGUGACAAUUAAGGACUCCCCAGCCAUAAUGUUCAAGGGAAUGGAGGGUAGUACACUUGGUGUAUGGGCUGCCCAUGGUGAGGGACGAGCAUAUUUCCCUGAUACUGGUGUUCUAGACCAUGUGCUUGACUCAAACUUGGCCCCGGUAAGAUAUUGUGAUGAUGAUGGGAAACCAACUGAAGUCUACCCUUUCAACUUGAACGGCUCUCCCUUGGGUGUGGCGGCAAUUUGUUCUCCUGAUGGCAGGCACCUUGCCAUGAUGCCUCAUCCCGAGCGUUGCUUCUUAAUGUGGCAGUUUCCAUGGUAUCCGAAUCACUGGAAUGUGGACAAAAAAGGACCAAGCCCGUGGCUGCGGAUGUUUCAGAAUGCCAGAGAAUGGUGCUUGUGAGGAAUUUUUUCUUUUCAGCAUCAAGCUCAGCCUCUCCCCCUCUCACCCCAAGGCCGCCGCUGCCUCAAUGCUGCCGCCUCAACGCCGUCGGCUCGCCGGUACUCACCGCCAUCGCUGCCUCCAGCUCCAUCAUCGCCGUCAAGUUUCAUCAACACCACCUCUACGCCAUUCGCGUCCUCUUCGCUGCCUGAACAUUAGUUGCUGCAGCCACGUUCUCACCGUCAAGCUCCAUCUCCACCGCCAGUGAGCUCCAUCUCCUUCGUAUUUGACUCUUCUUAAGAAGUACACUAUUUUGAGGAAAGUUGUUACGUAUGGCAUUUGUGACUUUGAUUGGAGUUUUGAUCUCAGCUUUGGAUUGCUUUGGUUCCUGACCAUUGUUAGUAACAUGGCUUUGGUUGUGGUAGCAGAAGAAAUUGCUAAAAAUGCUAUCCUGAAGGUUCAACAAAGAUUUUGGAAAUUCUUUAAAUCUCAUCUUUUCUGUGUUAGAAGCAAUACGUGAAAUAAGAAGGAACCGAUAUGGAUGUCCAACUGCAUAAUACAAGGAGAGGUGCUUUUGUGAGCGGCAGCUUUUUCUAUUCUCUUUCAUGACCAAAAGAUUUGUUUAUAUACAUAUAUGUUUAUAAUUUUAUGCCUGGCGAAGUUGUUUUAAUUCAGAAUUUCAGACGAACCAUUUGUGCCUUGUAGGAGUUUUGCUUAAUGAAAAGUAUGUUGUAAAUGGAAUGGGUGUUUUACA